rnacentral:lncRNA from 1 species
AAACCAAAACAUGGUGGAAAAUCACAAAAUAGUCCUCUAUAUAAGAUAUGCCCGAAGCCUCCACCAGCCAAAAUGCAUCAUAGUUCAUCAUCAGGUUUAUCUAAAAAGCACUCGUGCACGCCGCCAAAAACCAUCACUUCUAAAAGAAUUAGAACACUCUCUCCAAUGAAACACUCACCGGCAUCUUUUUCAGCGAAUGACAACACAACUUCAAGUAAUCCUGAAGACGAUGAUACUACAAUUGUCAAUGAGAAAACAACGACUUGUACACAAAUAUACAACGGAACAGGUUUACAAGAAAAUAUGAUUCAAGACAGUUAUUUCGAUCGUAAUCGCCCAGCUAGAACUACAUACCUUAAGUUUGUAAUUUGU